UCGGGAAAGAGGGAUGGCAUUGGAUAGAGAAACAUGGCGUCAAAAUCCCAUUUCGUCUUCUUCUUCUUCUUCACUCCCUCCCCCCCCUUUUUUUUCCCAUUUUUUACAAAGCAAACUCCUUCCUUAUCUCUGUCUUUCCAGUUCCGCCACUGCUGCUCCUUAAGGACGACCAGCCGCCUUCCCCUUUCCCCUCUUCUUUCUCAAUCUCAACCAAUCAUUAUCCAUCUCCCCAAAAACUACUUAUCUUAAGAUUCCAUUUCUACACCCCACAAUUGUUUUUCCUGUUUUUCACAGACGCCAUUGUUCUGCUCCCUUUGAACCAUACUUCUGCCAACCACUUUGCUUUCCCAUAUCAUCCAAUCUCUUAAUUUUAUGGUGCCCCUCCAUGGCGGAUUCAUGUUUUAUCUUUUUCACCAGGUAAUUAAUGAUCGGAAGAUUGAGGAUGAACCACUGUGUUCCUGAUUUUGAAAUGGCCGACGAUUUCUCUCUCCCAACAUUCUCUAGUUUAACCAGGCCGAGAAAAUCGUCUUUGCCGGAUGACGACGUCAUGGAGCUGCUAUGGCAGAACGGCCAAGUGGUGACGCAUAGCCAGAACCAGAGGUCGUUUCGUAAAUCUCCGCCGUCUAAAUUCGACGUUUCGAUUCCGCAAGAACAGGCGGCGACGAGAGAGAUCCGGCCGUCCACUCAAUUGGAGGAGCAUCAUGAACUUUUUAUGCAAGAAGAUGAAAUGGCCUCUUGGCUCAAUUAUCCUCUCGUUGAGGAUCAUAACUUCUGCUCCGACCUUCUUUUCCCUGCCAUCACUGCUCCUCUUUGCGCCAAUCCUCAACCAGACAUUCGACCUUCAGCGACGGCGACGCUCACUCUCACGCCGCGGCCGCCGAUUCCGCCCUGUCGGAGGCCUGAAGUGCAGACUUCUGUGCAGUUCUCUAGGAACAAGGCAACGGUUGAAUCUGAGCCAUCUAAUUCAAAGGUCAUGGUCAGGGAAUCGACGGUGGUUGAUUCUUGCGACACGCCGUCUGUGGGGCCGGAAUCUAGGGCUUCGGAGAUGGCAAGGAGGAAGCUGGUAGAGGUGGUUAAUGGCGGCGGUGUGCGGUAUGAGAUUGCUCGCGGCAGCGAUGGAGUCAGAGGUGCAUCGGUAGGUGGCGACGGCAUAGGAGAGAAAGAAAUGAUGACUUGUGAAAUGACUGUCACUUCUUCCCCCGGUGGCUCUAGUGCCAGCGCCGAACCUGCUUGCCCGAAGCUAGCUGUGGAUGACCGGAAGCGGAAAGGAAGAGCUCUCGACGAUACCGAGUGUCAAAGCGAGGAUGUUGAAUACGAAUCUGCUGAUCCAAAGAAACAAUUGCGGGGGUCGACAUCAACUAAGCGAUCUCGUGCUGCUGAGGUUCACAACCUCUCGGAGAGGAGACGUCGUGAUCGGAUAAACGAGAAAAUGAAGGCUUUACAGGAACUCAUCCCUCGAUGUAACAAGACUGACAAGGCUUCGAUGUUGGAUGAAGCGAUCGAGUACUUGAAGACACUUCAGUUGCAAGUGCAGAUGAUGUCGAUGGGAUGUGGAAUGAUGCCGAUGAUGUUUCCGGGUGUUCAGCAAUACUUGCCACCUCCAAUGGGGAUGGGAAUGGGCAUGGGAAUGGAAAUGGGCAUGAACAGACCAAUGAUGCAAUUUCAUAAUCUCCUGGCUGGUUCAAACUUGCCAAUGCAAGCUGGAGCCACAGCAGCAGCUCAUUUAGGCCCGAGAUUCCCUCUCCCCCCCUUUGCAAUGCCUCCUGUUCCUGGUAACGAUCCAUCCCGAGCUCAAGCAAUGAAUAAUCAACCAGAUCCGAUGGCUAACUCAGUUGGAACACAAAAUACAACCCCACCUUCAGUCUUGGGGUUUCCUGAUUCUUAUCAACAGUUUCUUAGCUCGACCCAGAUGCAGUUUCAUAUGACACAAGCUCUACAGAAUCAGCACCCGGUUCAACUGAAUACGAGCAGACCAUGUACUAGCAGGGGCCCCGAAAACCGUGACAAUCAUCAAUCAGGUUAAUAUUUGAAUGAAUGGACUCAAGAAACACACUUGGAGGGGAAGUUUUGGUGCAUAUUAGAGCGUCGAAAGCUUCAAACAUGCACGCCUGCUGCUUGCUAAUACAAUAUAUAUCACAAAUAACAUGUAACGACCACGUCCCUAUUGUGAUAGAAAGUAGAGUUACAGAUGGUCACGGGGAAACCGUUGCUUUUACACAAAACUAUUGUGUUGCAUUUCAUCGGGGUCAGGUCCGGGCUGAUGAUGCUGCUAGAUUCAACUUGAUGUGGUCAAUUAUGGUUGUCGUGAUCCUCAUCGUCAUUGGGAGGCAUCAAAGUAUUCCAAACUCCAACUUCAGAGCCAUUUCCAUGUUUUUUUCCUGGACCAUGGUUUCUACUGCAUGAUAUAUUAUAUAUUCUUCACUUCACAAAGUUGCUCAAGAUUCUUUUUCCUUCAUCAUAAUAAAACUUGUUUCAUACCCAUCUCAACUUGCACUUGGAAUAUAAAUUCUCAAUCAUCCAUGGAGAGAUCUCCAUAGAUAUUUUGUUUUGAUUUUACUUCUGUGCUUUUUCCACUGAACUUUCAAGGUUAUAUGAAAGUGGAAGAUCAGCAAAUUCACUGUAAAGAUGAGAAAAAAUUCAUUUUUCCUUGGUAGAUGAGAAUGUGAACUAGGGGCAUUUUUGGUAUAGUAAUUUUUUUUUUUUUUCAUUUUCUUUUUCUUUUUAGGGUGGUGGGGGGAAUAGUUUUUGGUAUGGAACCAUUGAAGGUGACAUUCCUCUUAUUCAAUAUAAAAUGCAUAACUUUUCUAUUAUUCCAAUGA